rnacentral:lncRNA from 1 species
CAGACACCUUUACAAACAGCCAGACACACCCUGUGGGGACUGAGCUCAGAAGCCAGCUGAGUGUCAGCCCCUUUCCCACUGGAGUUGCAAGGAAGGCCAAGCCCUGCUUGCCAGUUACAGCCUUCAGCACACUCUCUUAGACAGCUCUCUUCAUUUGCAGAUCAGCGGUCUGAGCGCUACAUUUGCUGAGAUUUUCCUGGAAAUACUCCAAAUCAAUCUUCCAGAAGGAGUCAGAUUGUCAGUGAGGGAGCACACUGAAGAAGACUUCAAGGGAAGGUUCAAAGCUCGGCCAGAACUGGAAGAAUUGUUGGCCAAGUUGAACUAAAUGCUCCCUUCAUGGAAUUGUUGGUGUCAGAGAAGCUCCUCUUGCAAGAUCAGAGUUAAGGAGGAGCAUGAAUGCUCACACUGGGAAUGCCUUCUUGCGUCUGUGACAGCCGUGUUUGAAGUUACCACUUCCCUCAACAAGACGUCGGGCAUUCUCCACCUAAUAAACAUCUGCUGUUGCCACACUGUGU